AUUGAACGCUGGCGGCAUGCUUUACACAUGCAAGUCGAACGGUAACAGGCCUUCGGGCGCUGACGAGUGGCGGACGGGCGGGUAAGGCAUCGGAACGUGCCCAGAGGUGGGGGAUAACGCAGCGAAAGCAGUGCUAAUACCGCAUGCGAUCGGAGUAUGAAAGCGGGGGACCAGGCAGCAAUGUUUGGCCUCGCGCCUUUGGAGCUGCCGAUGUCAGAUUAGGUAGUUGGUGGGGUAAAGGCCGACCAAGCCGACGAUCUGUAGCUGGUCUGAGAGGACGACCAGCCACACUGGGACUGAGACACGGCCCAGACUCCUACGGGAGGCAGCAGUGGGGAAUUUUGGACAAUGGGCGCAAGCCUGAUCCAGCAAUGCCGCGUGCGUGAAGAAGGCCUUCGGGUUGUAAACCGCUUUUGUACGGAACGAAAAGGCUCUGGCUAAUACCUGGGGCUGAUGACGGUACCGUAAGAAUAAGCACCGGCUAACUACGUG
rnacentral:rRNA from 1 species